rnacentral:rRNA from 1 species
UACGUAGGGUGCAAGCGUUGUCCGGAAUUAUUGGGCGUAAAGAGCUCGUAGGCGGUUUGUCGCGUCUGCUGUGAAAACCCGAGGCUCAACCUCGGGCCUGCAGUGGGUACGGGCAGACUAGAGUGCGGUAGGGGAGAUUGGAAUUCCUGGUGUAGCGGUGGAAUGCGCAGAUAUCAGGAGGAACACCAACGGCGAAGGCACGUCUGCUGGGCCGACACUGACACUGAGAGACGAAAGCUAGGGGGAGCGAAUGGG